CGUGGCUCGCCGGGGCGCGGCGGGAGGCGCGGUGUUCCGGCGCUCGGGUGCCGGGCGGCCGUGCCGCGUAUGAGACCGUGCUGAGGACGUGGUUGUCUGUCCUUCCCCCGGGGAUGCCGUUGACUGCGGCCGUCUCAGGCUUGCGUGGCUUCUCUCUGCCCGGUGUUGCCAUCCUCGCAGCGCGGGGGCGAAAAGGGACACACAGAGCCCUUCCCGGCUGUGGACAGGAGCUGCCUCGGCUGAAGCUGGAGACGCCAACGAAAGGUGGAGGACGGCCUAGAGUCUGGAGCUGCAGAAGAGGCAGGGCGGAGAGGAGGGG